CCUACGGGAGGCUGCAGUGGGGAAUAUUGCACAAUGGGGGAGACUCUGAUGCAGCGACGCCGCGUGAGUGAAGAAGUCAUUCGUUAUGUAAAGCUCUAUUAGCAGGGAAGUAAAUGACGGUACCUGAGUAAGAAGCUCCGGCUAACUACGUGCCAGCAGCCGCGGUAAUACGUAGGGGGCAAGCGUUAUCCGGAUUUACUGGGUGUAAAGGGAGCGUAGAGGGCAGGUCAAGUCUGUAGUGAAAGGCGGCGGCUCAACCCUCAGAUUGCAGUGGAAACUGUACGGCUGGAGUGCAGGAGAGGUAAGUGGAAUUCGUAGUGUAGCGGUGAAAUGCGUAGAUAUCAGGAGGAACACCAGUGGCGAAGGCAGCUCACUGGACUGUAACUGACGUUGAGGCUCGAAAGUGUGGGGAGCAAACAGGAUUAGAUACCCGAGUAGUC
rnacentral:rRNA from 1 species